rnacentral:rRNA from 1 species
UACGUAGGGGGCAAGCGUUGUCCGGAUUCAUUGGGCGUAAAGAGCUCGUAGGCGGUUCAGUAAGUCGGGUGUGAAAGCUCCGAGCUCAACUCGGAGAGGCCACCCGAUACUGCUGUGACUUGAGUCCAGUAGAGGAGCGUGGAAUUCCUGGUGUAGCGGUGAAAUGCGCAGAUAUCGGGAGGAACACCAAUGGCGAAGGCAGCUCGCUGGGACGUUACUGACGCUGAGACGCGAAAGCGUGGGGAGCAAACAGG